rnacentral:rRNA from 1 species
AAGCGGAGGAAAAGAAACCAACAGGGAUUGCCUCAGUAACGGCGAGUGAAGCGGCAAAAGCUCAAAUUUUAAAGCUGACAUCUUCGGUGUCCGCGUUGUAAUUUUGUGAGGCAUCUCCGGGUAGGGCGCCGGCCUAAGUUCCUUGGAACAGGACGUCACAGAGGGUGAGAAUCCCGUGCUUGGCUGGCUGUCCCCGUCCAUGUGAGGUGUCUUCGACGAGUCGAGUUGUUUGGGAAUGCAGCUCAAAAUGGGUGGUAAAUUUCAUCUAAAGCUAAAUAUUGGUGGGAGACCGAUAGCGCACAAGUAGAGUGAUCGAAAGAUGAAAAGCACUUUGAAAAUAGAGUUAAAAAGUACGUGAAAUUGUUGAAAGGGAAGCGCUUGAGACCAGACUUCGGUAAGGGGUGAUCAGCCGUCCUUCUGGGCGGUGCACUUGCCCCCCUCCGGGCCAGCAUCGGUUGAGGCGGCGGGAUAAAGGUCCCGGGAAUGUGGCUCCUUCACGGGAGUGUUAUAGCCCGGGUGAAUGCCGCCAGCUUCGACCGAGGACCGCACCCGCAAGGGUUAGGAUGCUUGGCAUAAUGGUCUUCAGCGACCCGUCUUGAAACACGGA